rnacentral:rRNA from 1 species
UCCUUCGGGGCGAGUAGAGCGGCGGACGGGUGAGUAAUGCUUGGGAAUCUACCCAGUAGCGGGGGAUAACCUGUGGAAACGCAGGCUAAUACCGCAUACGUCCUACGGGAGAAAGCAGGGGAUCUUCGGACCUUGCACUAUUGGAUGAGCCCAAGUCGGAUUAGCUAGUUGGUGGGGUAAUGGCUCACCAAGGCGACGAUCCGUAGCUGGUCUGAGAGGAUGAUCAGCCACACUGGGACUGAGACACGGCCCAGACUCCUGCGGGAGGCAGCAGUGGGGAAUAUUGGACAAUGGGCGCAAGCCUGAUCCAGCCAUGCCGCGUGUGUGAAGAAGGCUCUAGGGUUGUAAAGCACUUUCAGUAGGGAGGAAUGGUUGUUGAUUAAUACUCAUCAAUUUUGACGUUACUUACAGAAGAAGCACCGGCAAACUCCGUGCCAGCAGCCGCGGUAAUACGGAGGGUGCGAGCGUUAAUCGGAAUUACUGGGCGUAAAGCGCGCGUAGGUGGUUUG